CUGCCUGCCCGGUGACAUUAGUUAAACGGCCGCGGUAUCCUGACCGUGCAAAGGUAGCAUAAUCAUUUGUUCUCUAAAUAAGGACUUGUAUGAAAGGCCACACGAGGGUUUAACUGUCUCUUACUUCCAAUCAGUGAAAUUGACCUUCCCGUGAAGAGGCGGGAAUAAAAUAAUAAGACGAGAAGACCCUAUGGAGCUUUAAUUAACCAGCUCAAAAGAAUUUACUUACCAGACCGACAGGAACAACACUCUCCUUCCAUGAGCUGACAAUUUGGGUUGGGGCGACCUCGGAGCAUAAAAGAACCUCCGAGUGAUAUUAAUCUAGACAUACCAGUCAAAAUGCUCACUUACUUAUUGAUCCAAAGCUUCUUUGAUCAACGGAACAAGUUACCCUAGGGAUAACAGCGCAAUCCUAUUCAAGAGUCCAUAUCGACAAUAGGGUUUACGACCUCGAUGUUGGAUCAGGACAUCCUAAUGGUGCAGCAGCUAUUAAGGGUUCGUUUGUUCAACGAUUAAAGUCCUACGUGAUCUGAG
rnacentral:rRNA from 1 species